rnacentral:rRNA from 1 species
GAUGAACGCUGGCGGCGUGCCUAAUACAUGCAAGUCGAGCGAAUGGAUUAAGAGCUUGCCCUUAUGAAGUUAGCGGCGGACGGGUGAGUAACACGUGGGUAACCUGCCCAUAAGACUGGGAUAACUCCGGGAAACCGGGGCUAAUGCCGGAUAACAUUUUGAACCGCAUGGUUCGAAAUUGAAAGGCGGCUUCGGCUGUCACUUAUGGAUGGACCCGCGUCGCAUUAGCUAGUUGGUGAGGUAACGGCUCACCAAGGCAACGAUGCGUAGCCGACCUGAGAGGGUGAUCGGCCACACUGGGACUGAGACACGGCCCAGACUCCUACUGGAGGCAGCAGUAGGGAAUCUUCCGCAAUGGACGAAAGUCUGACGGAGCAACGCCGCGUGAGUGAUGAAGGCUUUCGGGUCGUAAAACUCUGUUGUUAGGGAAGAACAAGUGCUAGUUGAAUAAGCUGGCACCUUGACGGUACCUAACCAGAAAGCCACGGCUAACUACGUGCCAGCCGCCGCUGUAA